GUAGGUAUAGCUCAGUGGUAAAGCACAUGUUUAGCAUGCAUGAGGUCCUGGGUUCAACCCCCAAUACCUCCA
rnacentral:tRNA from 1 species